rnacentral:rRNA from 1 species
AGGAACAACGUUGGCGGCGUGCCUAACGCAUGCAAGUCGGGCGGGGUCGCCUUUCGGGGCGGCUCAGCGGCGGACGGGUGAGGAGCACGUGAUCGACCUGCCCAUGAGUGGGGGCCAACCCCGGGAAACCGGGGCUGUUACCGCAUGCGUCCGGCCCCUGGUGGGGGGGUCGGGGAAAGCCUUUCGGGGCGCUCAUGGAGGGGAUUGCGUCCGAUUAGCUAGUCGGCGGGGUAACGGCCCACCGAGGCGACGAUCGGUCGCUGGUCUGAGAGGACGACCAGCCACAGGGGGGACUGAGACACGGCCCCCACACCUACGGGUGGCAGCAGCGAGGGAUUUUCGGCAAUGGGCGCAAGCCUGACCGAGCAACGCCGCGUGCGGGAUGACGGCCUUCGGGUUGUAACCGCUUUUCCCCGGGGCGAAGAUGACGGUACCGGGGGAAUCAGCCUCGGCUAACUACGUGCCAGCAGCCGC